rnacentral:tRNA from 1 species
GGGAUUGUGGCUCAGUGGUAGAGUGCUCACCUAGCAGGUGUGAAGCCCUGGGUUCGAUCCUUAGCACCA